rnacentral:ribozyme from 13 species
AAAAAAAAAUCACUAAAUCCGUGUACCGCUAAAUAUUCUUCUUCUUCUUCCUUUUUUUUUUUUUUUUUUUUUUCUUAACCACGAAUUUAGAAGAUAGUAAUUAUGACGAAACACGAGUAAAG